rnacentral:rRNA from 1 species
AGUGGCAGACGGGUGAGUAACGCGUGGGAACGUACCCCUCGGUUCGGAAUAACUCAGGGAAACUUGAGCUAAUACCGGAUACGGCUUAGCGGCGAAAGAUUUAUCGCCGAGGGAUCGGCCCGCGUCCGAUUAGCUAGUUGGUGAGGUAACGGCUCACCAAGGCGACGAUCGGUAGCUGGUCUGAGAGGAUGAUCAGCCACAUUGGGACUGAGACACGGCCCAAACUCCUACGGGAGGCAGCAGUAGGGAAUAUUGGACAAUGGGCGAAAGCCUGAUCCAGCCAUGCCGCGUGAGUGAUGAAGGCCUUAGGGUUGUAAAGCUCUUUCGUCAGGGACGAUAAUGACGGUACCUGAAGAAGAAGCCCCGGCUAACUUCGUGCCAGCAGCCGCGGUAAUACGAAGGAGGCUAGCGUUGUUCGGAAUCACUGGGCGUAAAGCGCAUGUAGGCGGGUCUUUAAGUCAGGGGUGAAAUGCCAAGGCUCAACCUUGGAACUGCCUUUGA